CACACUAUCAUUAACUGAAUCCAUAGGUUAAUGAGGCGAACCGGGGGAACUGAAACAUCUAAGUACCCCGAGGAAAAGAAAUCAACCGAGAUUCCCCCAGUAGCGGCGAGCGAACGGGGAGGAGCCCAGAGCCUGAAUCAGUGUGUGUGUUAGUGGAAGCGUCUGGAAAGGCGCGCGAUACAGGGUGACAGCCCCGUACACAAAAAUGCACAUGCUGUGAGCUCGAUGAGUAGGGCGGGACACGUGGUAUCCUGUCUGAAUAUGGGGGGACCAUCCUCCAAGGCUAAAUACUCCUGACUGACCGAUAGUGAACCAGUACCGUGAGGGAAAGGCGAAAAGAACCCCGGCGAGGGGAGUGAAAAAGAACCUGAAACCGUGUACGUACAAGCAGUGGGAGCCUCUUAAUGGGGUGACUGCGUACCUUUUGUAUAAUGGGUCAGCGACUUAUAUUCUGUAGCAAGGUUAACCGAAUAGGGGAGCCGAAGGGAAACCGAGUCUUAACUGGGCGUUAAGUUGCAGGGUAUAGACCCGAAACCCGGUGAUCUAGCCAUGGGCAGGUUGAAGGUUGGGUAACACUAACUGGAGGACCGAACCGACUAAUGUUGAAAAAUUAGCGGAUGACUUGUGGCUGGGGGUGAAAGGCCAAUCAAACCGGGAGAUAGCUGGUUCUCCCCGAAAGCUAUUUAGGUAGCGCCUCGUGAAUUCAUCUCCGGGGGUAGAGCACUGUUUCGGCAAGGGGGUCAUCCCGACUUACCAACCCGAUGCAAACUGCGAAUACCGGAGAAUGUUAUCACGGGAGACACACGGCGGGUGCUAACGUCCGUCGUGAAGAGGGAAACAACCCAGACCGCCAGCUAAGGUCCCAAAGUCAUGGUUAAGUGGGAAACGAUGUGGGAAGGCCCAGACAGCCAGGAUGUUGGCUUAGAAGCAGCCAUCAUUUAAAGAAAGCGUAAUAGCUCACUGGUCGAGUCGGCCUGCGCGGAAGAUGUAACGGGGCUAAACCAUGCACCGAAGCUGCGGCAGCGACACUAUGUGUUGUUGGGUAGGGGAGCGUUCUGUAAGCCUGUGAAGGUGGCCUGUGAGGGUUGCUGGAGGUAUCAGAAGUGCGAAUGCUGACAUAAGUAACGAUAAAGCGGGUGAAAAGCCCGCUCGCCGGAAGACCAAGGGUUCCUGUCCAACGUUAAUCGGGGCAGGGUGAGUCGACCCCUAAGGCGAGGCCGAAAGGCGUAGUCGAUGGGAAACAGGUUAAUAUUCCUGUACUUGGUGUUACUGCGAAGGGGGGACGGAGAAGGCUAUGUUGGCCGGGCGACGGUUGUCCCGGUUUAAGCGUGUAGGCUGGUUUUCCAGGCAAAUCCGGAAAACCAAGGCUGAGGCGUGAUGACGAGGCACUACGGUGCUGAAGUGACAAAUGCCCUGCUUCCAGGAAAAGCCUCUAAGCAUCAGGUAACAUCAAAUCGUACCCCAAACCGACACAGGUGGUCAGGUAGAGAAUACCAAGGCGCUUGAGAGAACUCGGGUGAAGGAACUAGGCAAAAUGGUGCCGUAACUUCGGGAGAAGGCACGCUGAUAUGUAGGUGAAGCGACUUGCUCGUGGAGCUGAAAUCAGUCGAAGAUACCAGCUGGCUGCAACUGUUUAUUAAAAACACAGCACUGUGCAAACACGAAAGUGGACGUAUACGGUGUGACGCCUGCCCGGUGCCGGAAGGUUAAUUGAUGGGGUUAGCGGUAACGCGAAGCUCUUGAUCGAAGCCCCGGUAAACGGCGGCCGUAACUAUAACGGUCCUAAGGUAGCGAAAUUCCUUGUCGGGUAAGUUCCGACCUGCACGAAUGGCGUAAUGAUGGCCAGGCUGUCUCCACCCGAGACUCAGUGAAAUUGAACUCGCUGUGAAGAUGCAGUGUACCCGCGGCAAGACGGAAAGACCCCGUGAACCUUUACUAUAGCUUGACACUGAACAUUGAGCCUUGAUGUGUAGGAUAGGUGGGAGGCUUUGAAGUGUGGACGCCAGUCUGCAUGGAGCCGACCUUGAAAUACCACCCUUUAAUGUUUGAUGUUCUAACGUUGGCCCCUAAUCGGGGUUGCGGACAGUGUCUGGUGGGUAGUUUGACUGGGGCGGUCUCCUCCUAAAGAGUAACGGAGGAGCACGAAGGUUGGCUAAUCCUGGUCGGACAUCAGGAGGUUAGUGCAAUGGCAUAAGCCAGCUUGACUGCGAGCGUGACGGCGCGAGCAGGUGCGAAAGCAGGUCAUAGUGAUCCGGUGGUUCUGAAUGGAAGGGCCAUCGCUCAACGGAUAAAAGGUACUCCGGGGAUAACAGGCUGAUACCGCCCAAGAGUUCAUAUCGACGGCGGUGUUUGGCACCUCGAUGUCGGCUCAUCACAUCCUGGGGCUGAAGUAGGUCCCAAGGGUAUGGCUGUUCGCCAUUUAAAGUGGUACGCGAGCUGGGUUUAGAACGUCGUGAGACAGUUCGGUCCCUAUCUGCCGUGGGCGCUGGAGAACUGAGGGGGGCUGCUCCUAGUACGAGAGGACCGGAGUGGACGCAUCACUGGUGUUCGGGUUGUCAUGCCAAUGGCACUGCCCGGUAGCUAAAUGCGGAAGAGAUAAGUGCUGAAAGCAUCUAAGCACGAAACUUGCCCCGAGAUGAGUUCUCCCUGAGACUUAGAGUCUCCUGAAGGAACGUUGAAGACGACGACGUUGAUAGGCCGGGUGUGUAAGCGCAGCGAUGCGUUGAGCUAACCGGUACUAAUGAACCGUGAGGCUUAACCUUACAACGCCGAAG
rnacentral:rRNA from 1 species